rnacentral:rRNA from 1 species
CCAAGCUAUGAAGGGCCAACGGUGGAUGCCUAGGCGUCUACUACCGAUGAAGGACGUGGGUGGCUGCGAUAAGCCACGGUGAGGUGCCGACCAACCCUUGACCCGUGGAUCUCCGAAUGGGGAAACCCGACAUCCGUUGUGGGAUGUCACUCCGGCCUGAACUCAUAGGGCCGGUAGAGGGAACCGGGUGAACUGAAACAUCUCAGUAACCCGAGGAAAGGAAAGUAACGACGACUCCCUCAGUAGCGGCGAGCGAACGGGGAGCAGCCCAAACCGUUCCGGUGGAAUAGCCCGGUGGCGUUGCCGGAUCGGGGUAGUGGGGACCAGCUGAAGAAGCGCCGGCUUCUUCACGGAGUUACAAAUCGAUUUCGUAGUGGAAGUGUUCUGGAAAGGCAAACCGAAGAGGGUAAUAGUCCCGUACGCGAAACGUCAUCGACUCCGGUUGGCAGCCCCAAGUAACGCCGAACCCGAGAAAUUCGGCGUGAAUCUGCGAGGACCACCUCGUAAGGCUAAGUAUACGUAGGCGACCGAUAGUGAACUAGUACCGUGAGGGAAAGGUGAAAAGUACCCCGGGAGGGGAGUGAAAUAGUACCUGAAACCGUUGGUCUACAAACAGUCAAAGCGUCGUCACCGCUUCGGCGGUGGCCGCGAUGGCGUGCCUUUUGAAGAAUGAGCCAACGAGUUACGGUAGGUGGCAAGGUUAACCUGUGAAGGGAAGCCGGAGCGAAAGCGAGUCUGAACAGGGCGUUCAGUCGCGUGCCGUAGACCCGAAGCCGAGUGAUCUAUCCAUGGGCAGUGUGAAGCGGGGGUAAGACCCCGUGGAGGCGCGAACCGACCUAGGUUGAAAACUGGGCGGAUGACCUGUGGAUAGGGGUGAAAGGCCAAGCAAACUCGGUGAUAGCUGGUUCUCCGCGAAAUGCAUUUAGGUGCAGCGUUGCGUGUUCAUCAGUGGAGGUAGAGCACUGGAUGGGCUAGGGGGCCUACAAGCUUACUGACCCCAACCAAACUCCGAAUGCCACUGAUCCAUAGCGCAGCAGUGAGUCCACGGGGGAUGAGCUUCGUGGACGAAAGGGAAACAGCCCAGAUCGCCGGCUAAGGUCCCAAAAUCCAGACUAAGUGGUAAACGAUGUGGGAUUGCCCAGACAGCCAGGAGGUUGGCUUAGAAGCAGCCACCCUUGAAAGAGUGCGUAACAGCUCACUGGUCGAGUGGUCCCGCGCGGACAAUUCAACGGGGCUCAAGUCUGGUACCGAAGCCGCGGACGUGCUUUGCACGUGGUAGCGGAGCGUCGUUCUCGGAGCGAAGCGGCCGAGUGAUCGGUCGUGGACCGUGAGCGAGUGCGAAUGUUGGCAUGAGUAGCGAAAGAGGAGUGAGAAACUCCUCCGCCGGAUGUCCAAGGGUUCCUGGGCAAGGCUAAUCCUCCCAGGGUAAGUCGGGAGCUAAGGCGAGGCCGAGAGGCGUAGUCGAUGCACAACCGGUUGAUAUUCCGGUACCACCGUGACCGCGCCCACUCCAAUUAUGGGUUGCUAAGGGGCUGUCACUCCUCCGGGAGUGACGAACCGACCCACCCGUAGGCGGAGAGCAGUAGGGUGACGCAGAAGGGUAGAUGAACCCAGGCGAUGGUAGUUCCUGGGGUAAGCGAGUAGGGAGAGGACCAGGCAAAUCCGGGCCUCACAUAUCCCGAGACGCGAUACCGAACCGUCUACAGGUGAAGUCAUUGAUCCCAUACUGCCGAGAAAAACCUAGCUGCAGCUGUCACGGUGCCCGUACCCCAAACCAACUCAACAGGUAGAGAAUACCAAGGCGAUUGGGUCAACUACGGUUAAGGAACUCGGCAAAAUACCUCCGUAACUUCGGGAGAAGGAGGACCCCAUUAGGGUGACCGGCUCAGCGCCGCGAGCUCGAAGGGGUGGCACAAAAUUGGGGAAAGCGACUGUUUACUAAAAACACAGCAGCGUGCUAAGUCGUAAGACGACGUAUACGCUGUGACGCCUGCCCGGUGCCGGAAGGUUACGGGGAAGGGUUAGCCUUCGGGCGAAGCUCUGAACCUAAGCCCCGGUAAACGGCGGCCGUAACUAUAACGGUCCUAAGGUAGCGAAAUUCCUUGUCGGGUAAGUUCCGACCUGCACGAAUGGCGUAACGACUUUCCCGCUGUCUCAACCGUAGACCCAGCGAAAUUGAAGUACGAGUAAAGAUGCUCGUUAGCUGCAGAAGGACGGAAAGACCCCGUGGACCUUUACUGCAGCCUGAUGUUGGGUUUUGUCAUGUGUUGUGUAGGAUAGGUGGGAGACAUGGAAGCGUGGCCGCCAGGUCACGGGGAGUCACCCUUGAAAUACCACCCUUCACAUGACGGGGCUCUAACUUUGGUCCGUUAUCCGGAUCGGGAACAGCGUCAGGUGGGUAGUUUGACUGGGGCGGUCGCCUCCUAAAAGGUAACGGAGGCGCCCAAAGGUUCCCUCAGCCUGGUUGGCAAUCAGGCGUCGAGUGCAAUGACACAAGGGAGCUUGACUGCAAGACGGACACGUCAAGCAGGUGCGAAAGCAGGGCAUAGUGAUCCGGCGGUAGCGUGUGGAAGCGCCGUCGCUCAACGGAUAAAAGGUACCCCGGGGAUAACAGGCUAAUCUUGCCCAAGAGUCCAUAUCGACGGCAAGGUUUGGCACCUCGAUGUCGGCUCAUCGCAUCCUGGGGCUGAAGCAGGUCCCAAGGGUUGGGCUGUUCGCCCAUUAAAGCGGUACGCGAGCUGGGUUUAGAACGUCGUGAGACAGUUCGGUCCCUAUCCUCUGCAGCCGUAGGUAGAUUGAGGAAAGCUGUCCCUAGUACGAGAGGACCGGGACGGACGCAGCUCUCGUGUGCCAGUUGUCCUGCCAAGGGCACGGCUGGUUGGCGACCUGCGGACGGGAUAACCGCUGAAAGCAUCUAAGCGGGAAGCCUCUUUCGAGAUGAAUCUACCCACAGGGUCAACCUGGUAAGGCCCGUGGCAGAACACCACGUUGAUAGGCCGGAUGUGUAAGCGUGGCAACACGUUCAGCUGACCGGUACUAAUCGGCCGAGGGCUUGGG